CCUACGGGUGGCAGCAGUGGGGAAUAUUGCACAAUGGGGGAAACCCUGAUGCAGCGACGCCGCGUGAGUGAAGAAGUAUUUCGGUAUGUACAGCUCUUUCUGUAGGGAAGAAAAUGACGGUACCUGUUUAUGAAGCCCCGGCUAACUACGUUCCAGCAGCCGCGGUAAGACGUAGGGGGCAAGCGUUAUCCGGAUUUACUGGGUGUAAAGGGAGCGUAGACGGCAGGACAAGUCAGGAGUGAAAUGCCGGGGCUUAACCCCGGAACUGCUAUUGAAACUGUGAAUCUAGAGUGCAGGAGAGGUAAGUGGAAUUCCUGGUGUAGCGGUGAAAUGCGUAGAUAUUAGGAGGAACACCAGUGGCGAAGGCGGCUUACUAGACUGUAACUGACGUUGAGGCUCGAAAGCGUGGGGAGCAAACAGGAUUAGAUACCCCAGUAGUC
rnacentral:rRNA from 1 species